UACGAAGGGGGCAAGCGUUGUUCGGAAUUACUGGGCGUAAAGGGCGCGUAGGCGGCUUACCAAGUCAGGCGUGAAAUUCCCGGGCUCAACCUGGGGGCUGCGCUUGAUACUGGUGAGCUUGAAUGCGGGAGAGGAUAGUGGAAUUCCCAGUGUAGAGGUGAAAUUCGUAGAUAUUGGGAAGAACACCGGUGGCGAAGGCGGGUCUCUGGGCCGAUACUGACGCUGAGGAGCGAAAGCGUGGGGA
rnacentral:rRNA from 1 species